GACGAGCGCUGGCGGCGUGCUUAACACAUGCAAGUCGAACGGUGAAGCGCCUUCCUUUUUGGUGGGUGUGGAUGAGUGGCGAACGGGUGAGUAACACGUGAGUAACCUGCCCCCUUCUUCUGGAUAACCGCAUGAAAGUGUGGCUAAUACGGGAUAUUCUGGGUCUGUCGCAUGAUGGGUCUGGGAAAGAUAUUGUUUCGGUGGGGGAUGGGCUCGCGGCCUACCAGCUUGUUGGUGGGGUGAUGGCCUACCAAGGCGGUGACGGGUAGCCGGCCUGAGAGGGUGGACGGUCACACUGGGACUGAGACACGGCCCAGACUCCUACGGGAGGCAGCAGUGGGGAAUAUUGCACAAUGGGCGCAAGCCUGAUGCAGCGACGCCGCGUGAGGGAUGGAGGCCUUCGGGUUGUGAACCUCUUUCGCCAGUGAAGCAGGCCUGCCUCGUUUGUGGGUGGGUUGACGGUAGCUGGAUAAGAAGCGCCGGCUAACUACGUGC
rnacentral:rRNA from 1 species